GCCAGGAAAGUGUAUGGUGCAUGUGUUUGGAGCCUGCUUGUGGGAUUGCGUGUGUGUAGAGUGUGGUGUGGUAUUGUGUAAAUAGGUCAAUUUCAUUUGUGUUUGUGGUAUAAUAUGUAUGGCUAGGGACUGUAGAGAGUGUGUGUAUAGGGGCAUAGUGUUAUAGGGGAUGUAGCGAGUGUGUGCAUACGGGCUGUAGUGUGUGUGUGUAUAGGUGACGUAGUGUGUGUAGGGGUUGUAGAGAGGGUGUGUUUAGAGAAUGUUGUAUGUGUUUGCUGACAAGGAAUGUAGUGUGUGUGUAGGUGGUGCAGUGUGUGUGUGGGAGAUCUAGUGUGUAAAGGACCCAGAGUGUGUAUAGGAGAUUGUGUGUGUGUGUGUGUGUGUGUGUGUGUGUGUGUGUGUGUGUGUAUAGAGGAUUAUGUCUGGGGGUGCUGUGUGUGUCUGGGGGUGAUGUGUGUGUGUGAGUGUGAUUUUUUAAUUUAAAUUAUUAUUAUUUUUUUAUUAAUAAUAAUAAUAAUAAUAAUUUAAAAAAAAGUUAUAUUCCCCCCCCUCCCUUCUUACCUUUAGCCUGGGAGGGGGGGGAACCGUUUUGCCUGGGACGGGGGGGAGCCGUUCCGCCAUGGGAGAGCCAUGCUGCCUGAUCCCUGGUGGUCCAGUGGUGAGCGUGAACUCUAGCCUGUAGGUGACGUAGUGUGUGUAGGGGUUGUAGAGAGGGUGUGUUUAGAGAAUGUUGUAUGUGUUUGCUGACAAGGAAUGUAGUGUGUGUGUGUGUAGGUGGUGCAGUGUGUGUGUAGGAGAUCUAGUGUGUAAAGGACCCAGAGUGUGUAUAGGAGAUUGUGUGUGUGUGUG